UGUAUUGUUGUUUCCUUGUUCAUAACGUUGUAUACCAUAUCGAUGACGUAAUGGAAAAUGAAAUAAAAAUUACUCGGCCUAAGUCUGAAGUAAAUUAUUUUAAACAAACGCAUAUUUCUAAGUUACAUGAAAGAGUCCGGACUAAAUAUGAUGAAAUGCAAAGAAGACUACUAAAAUCGCAAUCUAUUGAUGAUUUACAACUUUCAACGCUUAGUGAGAACGAAAAUUAUAAAAAUAACACUAAAUAUGUCAGUGCCAGUGAUUUAAGUGAACGCAAUAAGUUUGAUUGCAACCAGUUCAAAUUUCUAAAACAGCAAAGCAUAGAGUUUGAGUGUGCAUCUAAAAGCCAGGUAUCACUUAGUGAAAUUGUCUAUAAAGAAUCAACGGUUUCCACAUCAGAAUUACGUCUUAGUGAAAAUAUAUUAAACAUUGACAAUGAAGAUUCAAAAAUUGAAGACAACUUCUUUUUCGAAACAUCAUUUAAGGGUAGCUGUGAAUCUCUUAAUGAAGUGAAAAAAUCUACCCAUGAAUCAACACAAAAGCCCAUGUCUUUGCGAAACAGGAUUGGUUUAAAGUUUCGAGAGGCUAAAAUGCGCAGACAAUUAGAAAAAGAAGCUAAAAUCAUUAAAAGGUGUGAUUCCGAUAGUAAAGUUGAUAAGUUUAUAUUCUCAAAUACAACAAAGGAAGACGUGGUUAAAUCAUAUAAAAGAACAAAAGUGGCUACAGUGACUAUUGCUCUGAUAGAAGCGUCGGGUUUUGAAGAAUUAGAUGAAGAUAAACAACAUUCUGUUAACUGCCGAAUAAGGAUUGGAUCGGAGAAACGUAAGUCUAAGACAAUUAAAAGUACCAAAUCGUCAGCGAAGUUUCAAGAACUUUAUAACCUUAAUUGGUUUGAUGACGAUAAUAUUGUUGAGAUGGUAUUUUGGGAUAAGGAUUUUCAAAUAGGAAGAGCAGAAAUAGACUUAACAACACUUGAAUACGAAAAAACACACAGAUUACAUUUAAAUUUAGAAGAAUCUGACAAAGUGAAAAUAUUCAUUUUACUCACGAUUAGCGGAAUUGCAUCAUUAAAUACUAUUUACAAUAUUAAUGAUGAUGACAUACAGAAGAAGGAAAAGGAAGUCGAUUUGAAGUAUUCUUGGUUCCGCAUUUUCGACGAAAUUACUGACGUCGGAUGCCUCUCUGUCAUUGUAUAUGGUGCAAAAGGCUUAAGCGGAAGUGAUUGCUACUGCAUCCUCAAACUCGAUAAUGAACGGUUGUACACGCAGACGGAUUACAAAACCAGCGAUCCAAAUUGGAUGAAGAUAUUCAUGUUCCCAAUAUCUGAUAUUACUUCAAUAUUGGAAAUAACGGUUUUCGAUGAAAAGAAAAGCGAAAUUGUUGGUAAAGUUUCAAUACCGUUACUAAAGAUAGACUCGGAUAAAAGAUGGUACGCGCUAAAAGAUAGUACACAACGAGAACGCGCCAAGGGAAAUAAUCCGAGAAUAUUGUUGGAAUUGAAGCUGUCUUGGAAUUUUGUCAAAGCAUCGAUUCGCCUCAUAAAUACUAAGGAGCUUAAUUAUUUGAAGACUGAAGAAAAGCUCGACAGGCAUAUUCUAUCCAGAAACAUAGCUCGAGGCAAGAUUGUCAUAAUGUGGGUUAUAAGCUUCUUUCGUAUUAUUAAAGAUUGUUUUGAGUGGGAGUCAAAAAAAUGGAACAUAAUCUCCCUUUUUCUGUGGAUCUUGUUCUGCAAUGUAUUUGAGAUGUGGAUGUUGCCUCUUUUUUUUCUGGUGCCAUUUAUUUGGUACCGCCCCAAAAAGUACCACAUUCUAGUUGACUGGAGAAAUAAAUUCACAGCUGUACAAUCUAGUGAGAACGAAAAGGAAAAGGAAGAAAAAUCACUUCGACAAAAAUUACAAGAAUAUCAAGAAAUGAUACAAAGUGUGCAGAAUUUCAUAGGAAAAGUUGCAAGCUUGGGUGAGAGUAUUAAGAACCUUUACAAUUUUUCAAUGCCUUUCGUCAGUUUCGUGGCAAUAUUCUUUAUAUCAGUCAUUGCCUUUGUGAUGUGUUUGAUACCAUUGAAAUAUAUUUUGAUAAUAUGGGGGUCCGUACUCCGUAGCUACUACGUAAGUCGGUACUGGGAGCCGAUCUUAUUCCUAGCCAACAGAUAUGUUUGAAGAGUUUAAGCAAUAAACAAUCAUAUAUCGUGAACUUAUAAUGUCAAAUAGUGUCAAGAAUACACAAAUAUACUAGAAAAAUAUUAAAUCCAAAUAGACAACCGGUUAGUGAGAUCUUGAUGUUACUGUCUCGAGUUCCAGAUGAUAAUAUAUUGCAAAAUUGUGAAGAAUUACCAUUAGG